rnacentral:rRNA from 1 species
UACGAAGGGGGCUAGCGUUGCUCGGAAUCACUGGGCGUAAAGCGCACGUAGGCGGAUCUUUAAGUCAGGGGUGAAAUCCCAAGGCUCAACCUUGGAACUGCCUUUGAUACUGGGGAUCUCGAGUCCGGAAGAGGUUGGUGGAACUCCGAGUGUAGAGGUGAAAUGCGUAGAUAUCUGGAGGAACACCGGUGGCGAAGGCGGCAUCCUGGACCGGCAUUGACGCUGAGACGCGAAAGCGUGGGGAGCGAACAGG